AGAGUUUGAUCAUGGCUCAGGAUGAACGCUAGCGAUAGGCCUAACACAUGCAAGUCGAGGGGCAUCACAUGAAGUAGCAAUACGGAUGGUGGCGACCGGCGCACGGGUGAGUAACGCGUAUGCAAUCUACCUACAACAAGGGGAUAACCCGUUGAAAGACGGACUAAUACCCUAUAAAACAGGGGUUCCGCAUGGGACUAUUUGUUAAAGAUUCAUCGGUUGUAGAUGAGCAUGCGUUCCAUUAGCUGGUUGGUGAGGUAACGGCCCACCAAGGCAACGAUGGAUAGGGGAACUGAGAGGUUUAUCCCCCACACUGGUACUGAGACACGGACCAGACUCCUACGGGAGGCAGCAGUGAGGAAUAUUGGUCAAUGGACGCAAGUCUGAACCAGCCACGUCGCGUGAAGGAAGACGGCCCUACGGGUUGUAAACUUCUUUUGUAAGGGAAUAAAGUGAGUCACGUGUGACUUUUUGCAUGUACCUUACGAAUAAGGAUCGGCUAACUCCGUGCCAGCAGCCGCGGUAAUACGGAGGAUCCGAGCGUUAUCCGGAUUUAUUGGGUUUAAAGGGUGCGCAGGCGGGAGAUUAAGUCGGCGGUGAAAUUUUGCAGCUCAACUGUAAAAGUGCCAUCGAUACUGGUUUUCUUGAGUGUAGAUGAAGUAGGCGGAAUUUGUGGUGUAGCGGUGAAAUGCAUAGAUAUCACGAGGAACUCCGAUUGCGCAGGCAGCUUACUAAAC
rnacentral:rRNA from 1 species